rnacentral:rRNA from 1 species
UACGAAGGGGGCUAGCGUUGUUCGGAAUCACUGGGCGUAAAGCGUGCGCAGGCGGAUCUACAAGUCAGGGGUGAAAUCCUGGGGCUUAACCCCAGAAUUGCCUUUGAGACUGUAGGUCUUGAGUCCGUGAGAGGGUGGCGGAAUUCCCAGUGUAGAGGUGAAAUUCGUAGAUAUUGGGAGGAACACCAGUGGCGUAGGCGGCCACCUGGCACGGUACUGACGCUCAUGCACGAAAGCGUGGGGAUCAAACAGG